rnacentral:rRNA from 1 species
GUGAAAUUCCGUCGGAAUCUGGGAGGACCAUCUCCUAAGGCUAAAUACUCUCUAGUGACCGAUAGUGAACCAGUACCGUGAGGGAAAGGUGAAAAGCACCCCGGAAGGGGAGUGAAAUAGAACCUGAAACCGUGUGCUUACAAGUAGUCAGAGCCCGUUAAUGGGUGAUGGCGUGCCUUUUGUAGAAUGAACCGGCGAGUUACGAUUUGAUGCAAGGUUAAGCAGUAAAUGUGGAGCCGUAGCGAAAGCGAGUCUGAAUAGGGCGUUUAGUAUUUGGUCGUAGACCCGAAACCAGGUGAUCUACCCUUGGUCAGGUUGAAGUUCAGGUAACACUGAAUGGAGGACCGAACCGACUUACGUUGAAAAGUGAGCGGAUGAACUGAGGGUAGCGGAGAAAUUCCAAUCGAACCUGGAGAUAGCUGGUUCUCUCCGAAAUAGCUUUAGGGCUAGCCUCAAGUGAUGAUUAUUGGAGGUAGAGCACUGUUUGGACGAGGGGCCCCUCUCGGGUUACCGAAUUUAGACAAACUCCGAAUGCCAAUUAAUUUAACUUGGGAGUCAGAACAUGGGUGAUAAGGUCCGUGUUCGAAAGGGAAACAGCCCAGACCACCAGCUAAGGUCCCAAAAUAUAUGU